rnacentral:rRNA from 1 species
AUUGAACGCUAGCGGGAUGCCUUACACAUGCAAGUCGAACGGAGUGGCGAACGGGUGAGUAAUGUAUCGGAACGUGCACCGGCGCGGGGGAUAACUACGCGAAAGCGUAGCUAAUACCGAAAACUAUUGGCACGGCCGAUAUCGGAUUGGCUAGUUGGUGGGGUAACGGUUCACCCAGGCGACGAUCCGUAGCUGGUUUGAGAGGACGACCAGCCACACGGGGACUGAGACACGGCCCAGACUCCUACGGGAGGCAGCAGUGGGGAAUUUUGGACAAUGGGGGCAAGCCUGAUGCAGCCAUCCCGCGUGUGCGAUGAAGGCCUUCGGGUUGUAAAGCACUUUUGGCAGGGAAGCGGUACCUGCAGAAUAAGCACCGGCUAACUACGUGCCAGCCGCCGCGGUAAUUC